AUGUCACUUUCCUCCGACUCGGAGCCCUUGCCACAGUUGAAAGUCCGAAGGGUAACCCGGAAAGUAAGCUUUUCACAUCCUUUAGCUUAUCAAGACCCUCAAUUUCUUUUGAAGCGACAGGUUCACGAAAGCCGGCGUCACACCCGGACCAACAAGGACACCGAUCUCUCCGCCGGGUUACCCGACGCAACAAGGAAGCGUCACACUGAGGAGACCUCCCCAUCUUCGGGUGACUCCAUGCAGUCAAAUCUGCCGACCUUCAAGACUGCGCCCGGUGCCCGGGCAAAGCUCACCAAAAGAGCAAAGAAAACCAGGUCAGCCGGAGUGCCGGACUUACCUGAACUGGAAGUGACGGCUCAAGAGCCGCCAGCUGCCUCCGCCCCCGAAGCCACCACUCCAAUGGACACGGCACCUGAGGCCUCUGCCCCGACUACCAAGACAACGACCGAAGCUGCGGUUAACCCGGAGGCCUCCGGCUCAGCUCCACCAGCAGACGACCCGGACGUGGUAAUCACCCGGACGGAGUUCGUUGAGCCCGGGAGACCGACCGUGUUGGCCAAAUGCUCCGCGAAGGGGGAGUUGCUGCAGCCCCACCGGGUGAACCUGGACCUCUCCGGCUACACCGACUUGAGUAUUGGAGAGCUCGUCUCUGGCUACAUCAGCCAAGUACACAAGAGCCGGGACGCCGAGGUCGCCAUGGUCAACCAGAUCCAACAAAAAUCUGAGGCUGUUGGCAAGAAACUAGAGGCGGACCUUGCGGAUCUCUAG
rnacentral:rRNA from 1 species